rnacentral:rRNA from 1 species
UACGUAGGGACCAAGCGUUGUUCGGAUUUACUGGGCGUAAAGGGCGCGUAGGCGGCGCGGUAAGUCACUUGUGAAAUCUCUGAGCUUAACUCAGAACGGCCAAGUGAUACUGCAGUGCUAGAGUGUGGAAGGGGCAAUUGGAAUUCUUGGUGUAGCGGUGAAAUGCGUAGAUAUCAAGAGGAACUCCUGAGGUGAAGACGGGUUGCUGGGCCAACACUGACGCUGAGGCGCGAAAGCCAGGGGAGCAAACGGG